rnacentral:lncRNA from 1 species
CCGGCUGCCAUCUCCUCCUCCUGGGCCGCCGCCUCCUCCUCUUCCUCCUCCUCCUGGGCCGGGCUGAUCCCCUCCCCGCUGCCGCCUCCUCCUGGGCUGGGCCCGCGGUGUCUCGUCCCCUCGCGGAGCCGCUCCUGCCGCCGCCGCCGCCGCCUCCUCAUUCAUCCUCGUGCACCAUAGGCGGCACAGGCACCAAGAUGUCCAACCGAGUGGUCUGCCGAGAAGCCAGUCACGCCGGGAGCUGGUACACAGCCUCAGGACCGCAGCUGAAUGCACAGCUAGAAGGUUGGCUUUCACAAGUACAGUCUACAAAAAGACCUGCUAGAGCCAUUAUUGCCCCCCAUGCAGGAUAUACGUACUGUGGGUCUUGUGCUGCCCAUGCUUAUAAACAAGUGGAUCCGUCUAUUACCCGGAGAAUUUUCAUCCUUGGGCCUUCUCAUCAUGUGCCCCUCUCUCGAUGUGCACUUUCCAGUGUGGAUAUAUAUAGGACACCCCUGUAUGACCUUCGUAUUGACCAAAAGAUUUACGGAGAACUAUGGAAGACAGGAAUGUUUGAACGCAUGUCUCUGCAGACAGAUGAAGAUGAACGCAGUAUUGAAAUGCAUUUGCCUUAUACAGCUAAAGCCAUGGAAAGCCAUAAGGAUGAGUUUACCAUUAUUCCUUUACUGGUUGGAGCUCUGAGUCAAAAGAACAGGAAUUCGGAACUUUUCAGUAAAUAUCUAGCGGAUCCUAGUAAUCUCUUUGUGGUUUCUUCUGAUUUCUGCCAUUGGGGUCAAAGGUUCCGUCACAGUUACUAUGAUGAAUCCCAGGGGGAGAUUUGUAGAUCCAUUGAACAUCUAGAUAAAAUGGGUAUGAGUAUUAUAGAACAAUUAGACCCUGUAUCUUUUAGCAAUUACUUGAAGAAAUACCAUAAUACUAUAUGUGGAAGACAUCCCAUUGGGGUGUUAUUAAAUGCUAUCACAGAGCUCCAGAAGAAUGGAAUGAAUAUGAGUUUUUCGUUUUUGAAUUAUGCCCAGUCGAGCCAGUGUAGAAACUGGCAAGACAGUUCAGUGAGUUAUGCAGCUGGAGCACUCACGGUCCACUGAAGCUCUGAAUCCUCAGGGAUGCCACCUGCACAUUCUCAUACUCUGUCCGGGCUCCCAGCCUAGCCUUUACCACGAUACUGGUCCUGGUUUGGGGGGAUUCUGAAACCUCAAACUAAUAGAACUUUCUUCUCUUUUUUUCUAGUAGGUGUAGUCCUUCCUUAAUUUCAACUCAUUAAAAAAUGCUUUAUAGUUUAGGGCAGUGGAAGGAAGGCUGGCAUCAAAAUAUUUUGAUCAAAAAAGAUGACAAUGUAAAGGCUCAGUUAUGGCAGACAGUUUUUUGAAAGUAACUUGUAAAGCAUUUACCAUAUCCUAAAUUUGCACUCUUUGCAGACUUGUGCACAUAUAUUCCGCUUUCAGAAUAGUUUUGCAAAUUGUACACAAACAAACAAAAAGGUGGAAGCUUUUUAAUAAAGAAAUUGCAUUUAUAAAUGAUCUGUAUUAGAAUAUAAUAAAUCUCCAGUUAUAGUCAAUUACUACCCAUGUUGUACAACAGAUACCUUCUAUUUUAGUUGCUAAUAAAGGGCUACACAACUCAAAAUAAAUAAAU